ACCUACGGGGGGCAGCAGUGAGGAAUAUUGGUCAAUGGUCGGGAGACUGAACCAGCCAAGCCGCGUGAGGGAGGAAGGUACAGAGUAUCGUAAACCUCUUUUGUCAGGGAACAAAGACUGGGACGCGUCCCCGGAUGAGUGUACCUGAAGACAAAGCAUCGGCUAACUCCGUGCCAGCAGCCGCGGUAAUACGGAGGAUGCGAGCGUUAUCCGGAUUUAUUGUGUUUAAAGGGUGCGCAGGCGGUCUGUUAAGUCAGCGGUAAAAUUGCGGGGCUCAACCCCGUCCAGC
rnacentral:rRNA from 1 species